rnacentral:rRNA from 1 species
GACGAGCGCUGGCGGCGUGCUUAACACAUGCAAGUCGAACGCUGAAGACCUGGCUUUUGUUGGGUUGGAUGAGUGGCGAACGGGUGAGUAACACGUGAGUAACCUGCCCUCUUCUUUGGGAUAACGCCCGGAAACGGGUGCUAAUACUGGAUAUUCACUGAUCUUCGCAUGGGGGUUGGUGGAAAGGUUUGUUCUGGUGGGGGAUGGGCUCGCGGCCUAUCAGCUUGUUGGUGGGGUGAUGGCCUACCAAGGCUUUGACGGGUAGCCGGCCUGAGAGGGUGACCGGUCACAUUGGGACUGAGAUACGGCCCAGACUCCUACGGGAGGCAGCAGUGGGGAAUAUUGCACAAUGGGCGAAAGCCUGAUGCAGCGACGCCGCGUGAGGGAUGGAGGCCUUCGGGUUGUAAACCUCUUUCGCUCAUGGUCAAGCCGCAACUGUGGGUUGUGGUGAGGGUAGUGGGUAAAGAAGCGCCGGCUAACUACGUG